UACGUAGGUGGCAAGCGUUGUCCGGAUUUAUCUGGGCGUAAAGAGCGCGCAGGCGGCCGAGUAAGUCGAAUGUGAAAGCCCCCGGCUCAACUGGGGAAGGUCAUUCGAUACUGUUCGGCUCGAAGAUAGGAGAGGGAAGCGGAAUUUCAGGUGUAGUGGUGAAAUGCGUAGAUAUCUGAAGGAACACCAGUGGCGAAGGCGGCUUUCUGGCCUAUUCUUGACGCUGAGGCGCGAAAGCUAGGGGAGCGAACGG
rnacentral:rRNA from 1 species